UUUAAUGAAAAUCCAAACGUGAGUCAGAGUGGCCUCCCUCCACCUGAGCUCAGUCCCUCUUCCGCCGCACCGGAGGUCGCCUCUGAUGGCGGGUCUUUAAUGACCAAAUAAAGCACAUCACCUCCUCCAAUUUAAAGUCCCGAGCUUGAAAAUCACGGUUAAAUAGCCUAAAUUUUCAAGAACAACAUGAAUCAAAGGUAAAAAGGGGAAGAACCCUAGAAAUCAAGUGGAAAUUAAAUCGUGCUCUCUCGAAACCAAACCAUCGGGGUUAGGGCUUUGAUUCCCCUAAUCGAACCUCACAUCUCAGUAACUUAUAUACAGUCAACUAAUGAAGAUGAAGGUAGAACUUACCGGAGCAUCGCCGGAGUCAGGUAAGAAAUCUUUGAAUCCUCUCGAAACUUAUUCUUCCUUUCUGUUCUUCUUUUCUACUUCUUCUCAACUUCUUCUAAAAAUUGUCUGAAUUGUGAGAUUUAACCGUGGGUUCGAUAUAUAUAUAUAUAUAGAGAGAGAGGGGGGAUUGUGAGUGAGGUCAAGCUCUACUAUGUUGAAGCUUCAAGGUGAAGAUUCAAUUGAGUAUGUUAAAGGAGCUCUAGAUGAGAGUGCAGAGGAAAGUUCUGAGAUGAAAGUUGAAUCUCGAAAUUCUGAGAAGGGUGAAAAUGAAUUGUAUUCCUCGGUGAUGAAUAAUUGCAGAGUAUUUAUAGAUUUUAGGUCCUUCAAAUUUCUGUUAGAAAUGCCAAAUGAAAUUCAACUGAAAUUCACAAGUUAGUUGGAAAUUAGAAAUUUUGUUAGAGUGAAUAUGAGUGAAAGAUUAGUUUAUUAUCAUUGCAAAUUCAGUUAGUUGAAUUAGGAUUAUAUGUGUGCUGCAUUAGGUUAAUUAUUAUGGUCUUCUUCUGUUAAGAGAAAUUUUGUAGGGUGGAUGUUAAUUAUGCAAGAGAAACGUAUGAUUUAUGUUUUGUUAAAAGUUAAGCAUGAUGUAUGCUUUGGUUCUUAAUGAACUUGGUGUGUUUCAUUUAAAACAGGUGCAUGGCUAUGAGAAUGAUGGAACUUCCAAUUGGUGUUCCGUUAAAAACGUGCAGGGUUCUAUUGGUUGAAAUUGGAGGGGGUAAGUUGAACAUGGUUUUGCUCUAUUAUGUAAUUUAUUACAAGCUGAAAAUGAAAUUUGCACUGUUAUGUUUGUAGGUUGGAAGAUUUUUUUUGCAAGGAUGAGCUGAUGUGAGAUGCUAUGGAAUAUCAUUUUACCCUGUUAGAAGCAAAUGAAUGAUUUAUAGACUGUUGCUUUGAUAUGCUUGGAUUGUGUAUUGAAUAUCAUGGACUAUGGGAUUGUGUAAAAUUGACUAGAGACUUAGGAUUUCUCAAAUGGUUGAAUAUUGUAAUUGUAUAAAAUGGUGUGGUCUGUUUAAUGUGUAAUGAAAAGUUAAUUGAAUUUGAAUUGAAUGGAUUAAUGGUUAUGGAAUUUAAUGUGUGCACUGAAUUUGUAGGAUGGUGUAUUGCAUUGAUUUGUAAUGGAAAGUUAUUGAAUGUUAAGAUUGUUAUGGAAAGUUAAUUGAAUGAAUGCUUGAAUGGUUUAUGGAGUUGUACUUCAAUGUGUAAAUAUUUGGACUGAAUGUUGUUU
rnacentral:lncRNA from 1 species